rnacentral:rRNA from 1 species
AUUGAACGCUGGCGGCAUGCCUUACACAUGCAAGUCGAACGGCAGCACGGGAGCAAUCCUGGUGGCGAGUGGCGAACGGGUGAGUAAUGUAUCGGAACGUGCCCAGUCGUGGGGGAUAACGUAGCGAAAGCUACGCUAAUACCGCAUACGAUCUGUGGACGAAAGCGGGGGACCGUAAGGCCUCGCGCGAUUGGAGCGGCCGAAAUCAGAUUAGGUAGUUGGUGAGGUAAAGGCCUACCAAGCCGACGAUCUGUAGCUGGUCUGAGAGGACGACCAGCCACACUGGGACUGAGACACGGCCCAGAAUCCUACGGGAGGCGGCAGUGGGGAAUUUUGGACAAUGGGCGCAAGCCUGAUCCAGCAAUGCCGCGUGCAGGAUGAAGGCCUUCGGGUUGUAAACUGCUUAUGUACGGAGCGAAAAGGCUCUCUCUAAUACAGGGGGCUCAUGACGGUACCGUAAGAAUAAGCACCGGCUAACUACGUGCCAGCCGCCGCCGUAA